rnacentral:rRNA from 1 species
GACGAACGCUGGCGGCGUGCUUAACACAUGCAAGUCGAACGAUGAACCCGGAGCUUGCUCCGGUGGAUUAGUGGCGAACGGGUGAGUAACACGUGAGUAACCUGCCCUUGACUCUGGGAUAACUGCGGGAAACUGUAGCUAAUACCGGAUACGACCCUCGGCGGCAUCGCCAGGGGGUGGGAAGAAUUUCGGUCAAGGAUGGACUCGCGGCCUAUCAGCUAGUUGGUGAGGUAACGGCUCACCAAGGCGACGACGGGUAGCCGGCCUGAGAGGGUAACCGGCCACACUGGGACUGAGACACGGCCCAGACUCCUACGGGAGGCAGCAGUGGGGAAUAUUGCGCAAUGGGCGAAAGCCUGAUGCAGCAACGCCGCGUGAGGGAUGAAGGCCUUCGGGUUGUAAACCUCUUUUAGCAGGGAAGAAGCGAAAGUGACGGUACCUGCAGAAAAAGCACCGGCUAACUACGUGCCAGCCGCCGCCGUAA